GUUCUGCCGGAGGAGCAGGACCAGGUCUCUGCAGACCUCCAGUCCUCUCCUGAGGAGGAAGAAGAUGUCCCCGAGAUUGAGGCCCAUGAUGCAGUUCUGCUCUCUCCAGUGUCUGGUUCGGGUCCGGUUCAGUGUCACCGUCGAUCAAGUCAGAAAAGACACCGGACACAGUGUCUCCUGAUCCAGAAAUCGAUUUGCCCCAAGGAUCCACUGUGUCUUUGUUUGAAGUGGGACAUUUGAUCGCUUCCGGGAACUUCGGCAAGGUCUAUGAGGGAACACAUUUAUUCAGCGACAAAGUGAAGGUCGCUCUGAAGUGUAUUCCCAAGCGCAAAGCGGACCGCUAUCUUGACAUUCCUGGUCACUCCAAACCGGUGCUUGCUGAAGUGGCUCUGAUGCUCCG